CAUCGGUGACAGGUGGUGCAUGGUUGUCGUCAGCUCGUGUCGUGAGAUGUUGGUUAAGUCCGCAACGAGCGCAACCCCUAUUGUUAGUUGCCAUCAUUCAGUUGGGCACUCUAGCGAGACUGCCGGUAAUAAACCGGAGGAAGGUGGGGAUGACGUCAAAUCAUCAUGCCCCUUAUGACCUGGGCUACACACGUGCUACAAUGGUUGGUACAACGAGUUGCGAGUCGGUGACGGCGAGCUAAUCUCUUAAAGCCAAUCUCAGUUCGGAUUGUAGGCUGCAACUCGCCUACAUGAAGUCGGAAUCGCUAGUAAUCGCGGAUCAGCACGCCGCGGUGAAUACGUUCCCGGGCCUU
rnacentral:rRNA from 1 species